GAUGAACGCUAGCGGCAGGCUUAACACAUGCAAGUCGAGGGGUAUAGUUCUUCGGAGCUAGAGACCGGCGCACGGGUGCGUAACGCGUAUGCAAUCUACCUUUCACAGAGGGAUAGCCCAGAGAAAUUUGGAUUAAUGCCCCAUAGUGUUAUCGAAUCGCAUGGUUUGAUAACUAAAGUUCCAACGGUAUAAGAUGAGCAUGCGUCCCAUUAGUUAGUGGUAAGGUAACGGCUUACCAAGACAAUGAUGGGUAGGGUCCUGAGAGGGAGAUCCCCCACACUGGUACUGAGACACGGACCAGACUCCUACGGGAGGCAGCAGUGGGAAUUUUGGACAAUGGGGCGCAAGCCUGAUCCAGCAAU
rnacentral:rRNA from 1 species